UACGUAGGUGGCAAGCGUUGUCCGGAUUUACUGGGCGUAAAGAGCGCGCAGGCGGUCGUUCAAGUCGCGUGUGAAAGCCCCCCGGCUCAACUGGGGAGGGUCACGCGAUACUGAUCGACUCGAAGGCAGGAGAGGGAAGUGGAAUUCCCGGUGUAGUGGUGAAAUGCGUAGAUAUCGGGAGGAACACCAGUGGCGAAGGGCGACUUCCUGGCCUGUUCUUGACUGCUGAGG
rnacentral:rRNA from 1 species